rnacentral:rRNA from 1 species
AUUGAACGCUGGCGGCAGGCUUAACACAUGCAAGUCGAGCGGGGUGAUGGUGCUUGCACUAUCACUUAGCGGCGGACGGGUGAGUAAUGCUUAGGAAUCUGCCUAUUAGUGGGGGACAACAUUUCGAAAGGAAUGCUAAUACCGCAUACGUCCUACGGGAGAAAGCAGGGGAUCUUCGGACCUUGCGCUAAUAGAUGAGCCUAAGUCGGAUUAGCUAGUUGGUGGGGUAAAGGCCUACCAAGGCGACGAUCUGUAGCGGGUCUGAGAGGAUGAUCCGCCACACUGGGACUGAGACACGGCCCAGACUCCUACGGGAGGCAGCAGUGGGGAAUAUUGGACAAUGGGCGGAAGCCUGAUCCAGCCAUGCCGCGUGUGUGAAGAAGGCCUUAUGGUUGUAAAGCACUUUAAGCGAGGAGGAGGCUACUUUAGUUAAUACCUAGAGAUAGUGGACGUUACUCGCAGAAUAAGCACCGGCUAACUCUGUGCCAGCAGCCGCAGUAAUAC